CCUACGGGGGGCAGCAGUGAGGAAUAUUGGUCAAUGGGCGCGAGCCUGAACCAGCCAAGUCGCGUGAGGGAGGACGGCCCUACGGGUUGUAAACCUCUUUUGCCGGGGAGCAACGGGCGCCACGUGUGGCGUCACUUAGAGUACCCGGAGAAAAAGCAUCGGCUAACUCCGUGCCAUCAGCCGCGGUAAUACGGAGGAGUCGAGCGUUAUCCGGAUUUAGUGGGUUUAAAGGGUGCGUAGGCGUAUCGUUAAGUCAGUGGUCAAAUGUAGGGGCUCAAACCCUGCCGGCCAUUGAAACUGGCGUUCUUGAGUGGAAGAGAAGUAUGCGGAAUGCGUGGUGUAGCGGUGAAAUGCAUAGAUAUCACGCAGAACCCCGAUUGCGAAGGCAGCAUGCCGGCUUCCGACUGACGCUGAAGCACGAAAGCGUGGGGAUCGAACAGGAUUAGAUACCCCGGUAGUC
rnacentral:rRNA from 1 species